AACGAACGCUGGCGGCAGGCUUAACACAUGCAAGUCGAGCGCCCCGCAAGGGGAGCGGCAGACGGGUGAGUAACGCGUGGGAACGUACCCUUUGCUACGGAAUAGCUCCGGGAAACUGGAAUUAAUACCGUAUGAGCCCUACGGGGGAAAGAUUUAUCGGCAAAGGAGCGGCCCGCGUUGGAUUAGCUAGUUGGUGGGGUAAUGGCCUACCAAGGCGACGAUCCAUAGCUGGUCUGAGAGGAUGAUCAGCCACAUUGGGACUGAGACACGGCCCAAACUCCUACGGGAGGCAGCAGUGGGGAAUAUUGGACAAUGGGCGCAAGCCUGAUCCAGCCAUGCCGCGUGAGUGAUGAAGGCCUUAGGGUUGUAAAGCUCUUUCGCCGGAGAAGAUAAUGACGGUAUCCGGAGAAGAAGCCCCGGCUAACUUCGUGCCAGCAGCCGCCGUAAAAC
rnacentral:rRNA from 1 species